rnacentral:rRNA from 1 species
GAUGAACGCUGGCGGCGUGCCUAAUACAUGCAAGUCGAACGAAGAUCUAGCUUGCUAGAUCUUAGUGGCGAACGGGUGAGUAAUACAUAAAUAAUCUGCCCAUAUGACUGGGAUAACUAUUGGAAACGAUAGCUAAUACCGGAUAGGUUAAUCGGAGGCAUCUCUGAUGAAUUAAAGUAGGAUUUCUACACAAAUGGAUGAGUUUAUGGCGCAUUAGUUAGUUGGUGGGGUAACGGCCUACCAAGACGAUGAUGCGUAGCCGACCUGAGAGGGUGACCGGCCACACUGGGACUGAGAAACGGCCCAGACUCCUACGGGAGGCAGCAGUAGGGAAUUUUCGGCAAUGGGCGCAAGCCUGACCCAGCGACGCCGCGUGUAGGAUGAAGUCCUUCGGGAUGUAAACUACUGUCAGAGGGAACGAUGCCAGCCGGUAGUAACUGCCCGGUGGGUGACGGUACUCUCAAAGGAAGCACCGGCUAACUACGUGCCAGCCGCCGCCGUAAAAC